UCCCAUUGGCUUAAACUCAGUCAUGUGUAAGCUUUAGGUUCCUGCUUGUCAAAAAAGAGGAUUCCCAAGCUUGGCCUGGCCUUUUGGACUCCAUAAACUCAGAUUCGGUGGGGUAUAAAUUUGGUGAUGAUUUAAAUGCUACAGAAGUGAUUUAGUUUCUUCUGAUGUGGCCUGGGAAAAUGGAAAGGAAUUCCUGAGGCUGCUUCAACAAAUUCUCACCCAAUUUCUUAUCAACUCAUGGACUAAACACUACUGAAAGCAACGACGCACUGGGGAGACCCAGCAUCACUUCCGGGUGCUCCUGCCAACACUGCACAGCCUGAACCUAAGCAGGAGGGAACACCAGACAAACCCAAGUGGCAUCUGCCUAGAGAACUCAGUGCUGGGUCGGCCACAGGAAUACCCGCUGGCCUCUCAAUGCUUCUCUCCUGAUUCCUCAAGACAAAUCCAUUCGGCUGUGUGUCCAGG